GAGUAUAGACAAUUAUAAUCGUCAAGUAGUAGAGAAUCAGAAAAUGUGCAAAUAAUUAAGUUGCAAGAUGAAAUGAAAGAGAUGAAUGAAUGAGUAAAUGAGUAAAGAGAGUAAUCGUUUGGACAGGACGACGAUGUUUGCUAUUGGUGUAGAGUUGGGGAUGUUACGGUUACAUGGUUAUAUUGGAUAUGUGUAUGUGUAUGUGUAUGCUGAAGAUUUCGUUUGAAUGGAAAGUGAAUGAGUAGUAGAAAGGUAAGGAUAUGUAGGAUGAAAACAGAUGUU